AAAGGUAAAGGUUAUGUUUCCUCUGAGUUUCCUCUUUCUCUUCUUCGGUUCUCUUUCUCUGUAUGUUCUCCUCUGUAACUCGCUUCAACCAAAUCUGGUAACCAAAUUUCGAAAUCAAAGUCUAAUAAACACGAACUACGAAUACGUAAAGCAGAGAUCACAUACAUGGCGUUGUAUCUGAUCCUUGGGCGUUAUUAAUAUCUUAAACUCAAAGAUUGAAGCAAGAUCUAGGAUUUCGCCAUGUAAUAAAAAGUCUAAAGAUCCUCAUCAAAUCGAAGCAUCGACAUCAAGGAAUUGGUAUUUUCUGAUGUUAUAGUUUCUUGUGAGAAAAUUUGGGGGAAAAUUUCUUGUGGCCAAGGAAGAUGAUUCAUAAGAUUAUUGAUGAAACGCAUACAGCUGGAAGACCUAACCAAUGCUGACAGAAAAUCCCGGUUAAGCUUUGUCCAUGAAGUCCAUAUGAUACAACUGCAGUUUAUGUGUCUAAGUCGGCUUGUUAGGCUGGAUAUACUGCUGGUGCUGUUAAGAAGUUGUACAAACAUUGCUCCCUGGAACUGGUGCUAUUUGAUUCUUGUCAGUGUCAUUGUUGUGAUGGCAUUGAAACUUUUUGGGUAGUGGCAACAAGUGGAUUGUGGCAAUUCCCCUCUUUAAUGAUGCAGUUAGGCUACUGAUUUUUUUGGUUGGGGAAAUGGCAACCACUUCCGAUAAGAUUCCUGACUGAUUCAAAUCCAGUUUGUGUUUCUCUCAUCUCUUUUAGUUUUAGAUAUGGUGAUCAAUUCCUUGUCUCUCCGACAUGGAAACAAACAAGGUAUAAGAAGAACUGUGAAACAUCAUUUCUAGUUCUCUUUUUCUUUUCCAUUAUUCAAAUUGAGGAGACUCAGUGCUCGUUUGUGGAGUCUUAAAUUUCAGAAAUGCCGUGAUUGCCAUGAGAAUUUUAAGGCCUCAAGGGCGUACACGUUCAAGUUCAAGGGACGACAAAGGCUUCUAGGGCAUCCGUUGCCAGUUUCACAUGACGAAAAAAAUCAAUUUAUACAUAGAGAAAACGGAACAAAUUAAAGAAGCCCAAUGCAAGUUCCAGGCACAAUGCACUCGGUUAAAUAUUGGUUCUUAGUCCAGCUGAUUCUCCAACCAUUGAAGAUCCAGAAGCUGUUUAGUGCUUAGUUUUAUGUUACUCCUUUAUUUCUAGUUAAAGUUACAUGAGUAUUAGUUUUCUUCAGUACUGUAGAAGUGUUGUCUUUUAAAUAGUUCAAUUAGCAGCUAUGAGUGCAAUUAUCAGAAUAUUAUUCAGUUUAAAUGGUUUUCUUUUCUAUA